rnacentral:rRNA from 1 species
GAUGAACGCUGGCGGCGUGCCUAAUACAUGCAAGUCGAGCGAACAGAUGAGGAGCUUGCUCCUCUGACGUUAGCGGCGGACGGGUGAGUAACACGUGGAUAACCUACCUAUAAGACUGGGAUAACUUCGGGAAACGGGAGCUAAUACCGGAUAAUAUAUUGAACCGCAUGGUUCAAUAGUGAAAGACGGUUUUGCUGUCACUUAUAGAUGGAUCCGCGCCGCAUUAGCUAGUUGGUAAGGUAACGGCUUACCAAGGCAACGAUGCGUAGCCGACCUGAGAGGGUGAUCGGCCACACUGGAACUGAGACACGGUCCAGACUCCUACGGGAGGCAGCAGUAGCGAAUCUUCCGCAAUGGGCGAAAGCCUGACGGAGCAACGCCGCGUGAGUGAUGAAGGUCUUCGGAUCGUAAAACUCUGUUAUUAGGGAAGAACAAAUGUGUAAGUAACUAUGCACGUCUUGACGGUACCUAAUCAGAAAGCCACGGCUAACUACGUG